AGAGUUUGAUCUGGCUCAGAAUCAACGCUGGCGGCGCGCUUAACACAUGCAAGUCGACGAGAAAGCAGGAGCAAUCCUGUGAGUACAGUGGCGUACGGGUGAGUAACACGUGGAUUAUCUGCCCUGGAGUGGGGAAUAACGCUGGGAAACCGGCGCUAAUACCGCAUAUUCCCGAGAGGGGAAAGCAGCAAUGCGCUCGAGGAGGAGUCCGCGGCUGAUUAGCUAGUUGGUAGGGUAACGGCCUACCAAGGCUAUGAUCGGUAGCCGGCCUGAGAGGGCACACGGCCACACUGGCACUGAAACACGGGCCAGACUCCUACGGGAGGCAGCAGUGGGGAAUCUUGCACAAUGGGGGCAACCCUGAUGCAGCGACGCCGCGUGAGCGAUGAAGCCCUUCGGGGUGUAAAGCUCUUUCGGCAGGGAAGAUGAUGACGGUACCUGCAGAAGCAGCUGCGGCUAACUACGUGCCAGCAGCCGCGGUAAUACGUAGGCAGCAAGCGUUGUUCGGAGUUACUGGGCGUAAAGGGUGUGUAGGCGGCCUUCUAAGUUUGGUGUGAAAUCUCCCGGCUCAACCGGGAGGGUGCGCCGAAGACUGGGGGGCUAGAGUGCGGGAUGGGAGAGUAGAAUUCCUGGUGUAGCGGUGAAAUGCGUAGAUAUCAGGAGGAAUACCUGUGGUGUAGACGGCUCUCUGGACCGCAACUGACGCUGAGACACGAAAGCGUGGGUAGCAAACAGGAUUAGAUACCCUAGUAGUCC
rnacentral:rRNA from 1 species